AUUCACUAACUCGGAAACGGAGCCAUUCUUGUUUUGUUUGAGUGGUGCCGUGUGUUUGUGCGAGCGAAUGAAUGCGAGAGAGUGUGAUUGUUUUAUGUCUGUAAUGUUUUAUGUCUUAGUUUAGCGACAAAAAAAAAAAAAAAACUACACAGUGAUCUUAUUUGAUCUGGUCGGGGUUUGGCCUGGCUCCGAUUCGGAAAUGAUAGUACCCGACAUGCGAGCCCCAGAGGCCAUGAGCAUGAAGCUUCCACUAACUUCAGGGCCUCCACAAGAAAUUGUGGUCAGAAGUGAUGACUCGAUCAGAUAUACUAGUGCCGAGGAGAUUUGUGGUUUUACCUCAUUCUCCACACCGGCCAAUGAGUAUAACAGCGAUUCUGAUCUGC
rfam:Salmo salar isolate Sally breed double haploid chromosome ssa15, whole genome shotgun sequence.